rnacentral:rRNA from 1 species
GAUGAACGCUGGCGGCGUGCCUAAUACAUGCAAGUCGAGCGAACAGACGAGGAGCUUGCUCCUCUGACGUUAGCGGCGGACGGGUGAGUAACACGUGGAUAACCUACCUAUAAGACUGGGAUAACUUCGGGAAACCGGAGCUAAUACCGGAUAAUAUAUUGAACCGCAUGGUUCAAUAGUGAAAGACGGUUUUGCUGUCACUUAUAGAUGGAUCCGCGCCGCAUUAGCUAGUUGGUAAGGUAACGGCUUACCAAGGCAACGAUGCGUAGCCGACCUGAGAGGGUGAUCAGCCACACUGGAACUGAGACACGGUCCAGACUCCUACGGGAGGCAGCAGUAGGGAAUCUGCCGCAAUGGGCGAAAGCCUGACGGAGCAACGCCGCGUGAGUGAUGAAGGUCUUCGGAUCGUAAAACUCUGUUAUUAGGGAAGAACAAAUGUGUAAGUAACUAUGCACGUCUUGACGGUACCUAAUCAGAAAGCCACGGCUAACUACGUG